GGUUACUGAUGUAUCAGGCAUCAUCGGAUGGUGUGCAAUAUUUCUUUCAGAGGUACCAUGUUUAUGUGCCAAUUGGUCCAUUAUUAGUUUUCAUUAACCAUUUUACUUAUCCCUUGGCUAGCUUACUUGCUCCGCUGGCAAAGUUCUUCAAAAGUUGAUGUCUAGCCUCAAAUCUUACCGAGCAAAUAGACAUUAAUGUCGAAUGGAGAACCUGGUUCUUUUGUGGGCAUAGUUUACUAUCUGCUCUAGAUAAUACUUACACACUUUAACUUCUUGAAGAGUGCUUGGUCUCUUGACCUUGGAAGAUUAUUACUGGGAUUUGGAGUUGGUCUUGCCUCAUACGUGGUAACAAAUGCAAUUUCUUCAGAUCAUACAGCAUUGUAAGUCCAACAAUUCAAUGUUGAUUGAUUAUGCAUUUAAUCGUGCAGGUACCAGUGUAUGUUGCAGAGGUAACACCGAAGAAUUUAAGGGGAGGAUUUGUUUCGCUCUGUAUGGUAAUUAAAAGCCUCAUAAAUUGUUGCCUUGGCUUCAGUCUCUACCUGAAGUCAAAUUACAUCGAUCCUCUGUAUGAUCCACAAGCUCAGGCCCCUUCUUUACAGCUUUUAUCGAUGUCAUUUUAGGCAUUCCACAUAUCUUUCCUGACUUGUUCUUGCAUCAUACAAAUCACAUUAUCUCGCUGGAGGAUCUUGUGGCCAUCCUUUGUAUAUCGAAACUAACUUCCCUUUUUUAACCUGGUGGAUGAUAUACAGUUGGUGAUAGCUGGUGGCAUGUCAAUGACGUACAUCAUUGGUUCGCUGGUAAAUUGGCGUCUCUUGGCUUGUUUAGGUACUCCCCAUUAGACUUUAAAUAAUUAUUGGUUCGUAUGCUUCGAAUAUGAUUUUUAAGCUUUCUCAUGCAACGUGUUUCAGGAAUUAUUCCAUGUCUAUUGCAGCUGGGGGGUCUUUUCCUUAUUCCAGAAUCUCCUAGAUGGCUGGUGAGUUUCUUGAAGGGAAAUUCAAGCUACUGUUGCUGGAAUGUAGAUGACAUGUUAAAUAGAAUCUAGAACCUUUCAUGCAAUUUUUGCCCCCGCCUUGUUGCUUGCAUGAGUAAGACUGGCAGAAGCAUCAGUCGGGACUGAUAUAGACAAUGAUGAUUGCUGUGCACAGGCCAAGGUUGGUCGAGAAAAAGACAUGAAAGCUGCGUUGCAGCGUCUCAGGGGAAAGAAUGCAGAUAUCUCCAAAGAAACAUCUGAAAUCAAGUAUAAAAUCUCACUGCAGCAGAAUGUUUUCAUUUUAAACUCAUGGCUUAAUUAUGUCCAAAUGGCUUACUUUCGAGAAAGGUAUGUGGUUUAGCAUGAGGUAGCGCUUCGUUUUCUGCAGGGUUACAUCGAAACUCUUCAGCAAGUAUCAGAACAUAGGAUAUUCCACAUAUUUCAGCGAAAAUACGCACGAGCACUAACUGUAAGCCCCGUAGCUGAAUUCUUACUAUUUAUCUCGAUCUUUACCAAUUUCAUGUUCUCGAUGAAUCAAGCAAGUGAAUUCGAUCUAGGUUGGACUUGGCCUAAUGGUUUUUCAACAGUUGGGAGGAUUAAGUGCAUAUGGAUUUUAUAUGAGUUCAAUUCUCAAAAAAGCCGGUAACUUUAUCUAUGCUGAAUCAUCAUUCAAUGAGAACUUUCGAUCUCAAGAUGAAGAACACACUGACAACAAUUGGCUUCUGAGACAGGUGCUUCAACUACUGCCGGGUCCAUCACCACGGCCAUUGUCAAGGUUUGUAUUCCUGUGUAAAUAGUGAGCCUUUUUUCUCCUCUCCUCCCUUAGCCUAUGAAUAAUUCUUUCGUAUCCAUGACACGCAGUUGGCAGCAAAUAUUGUAGCUGUGUUCUUGAUGGAUAAAUUCGGAAGACGACCGUUACUGCUGGUAGUAACUGAGCCGAAGCACUGCGGAUCAUUCUUGUGCUCAUCAUAUUCACCCAACACAAAUAUUACUUCAAAAUGGCUGAUAGAUAAAAUGCUUCUGAAUGUAGUCGAAACUUUACUAUUCCUGAAACCAACUAGCUAAUAUGCAGGUUUCAGCAUCCGGAGCUUGCUUGGCUGGCUUCCUUAUUGGAUUAUCAUUUCUCCUACAGGUUCCUUACUACACAUGCUUCCUGUUUAUCCUCAUAUGAAUUUAGUAAGGUAUGCUCUUGAUGGAAAACUGUCUAAGAUUCAACGUGCAGGACUAUCAUCAAUCAACGGAUGUUGUAUCCACCUUGACCUUCGUGGGGAUUGUGGUGAUUUUUUUCCCCUUGACAUGUUAAAUGCUCUUUUUGUUGCUUCAAAAUUCAAAGAAAAUGCAGCAGCAGCAUUGUUAUGAACUUUGCUCCUCUUAGAUGGAUUAAUGAGGUGCGCACUAUACAACUUCAGGUUUUUAGCGGGUUUUUUGCGAUGGGCUUAGGAGGGAUACCGUGGAUCAUAAUGGCUGAAGUCAGUGAGAAAUCUGGUGCUCUAACUACUUUUCUCGAGCCCUGUAUGCUCAUUGAGUUCACAGGGCUUGACGUGAUCACCAAUCGUCUUGAUGUCUCAUCUUGUUAUGACGGUUUCUGCUGUGCCAGAUUUUCCCAAUGAACGUGAAGGGACCGGCAGGGAGCCUCGUGAAUUUGGUCAGCUGGUCCGGUUCCUGGCUUGUGGCCUACACAUUCAACUAUUUCUUUGAAUGGAGCUCAGCAGGUGACGCUUCUUCACUUCUCAUCCUCGCUGCUUUUUCUAGUGCCAAAUUCAGGUACAAAUUAAUAUAUUAAUCAGUCUGCCGAAUGUGCCAGGCGUGUUUUUUGCGUUCUCGGGCAUCUGCUGUUCUGCAGUACUCUUCAUAGCGAAGAUGGUGCCGGAAACCAAGGGGCGCACGCUCGAGGAAAUAGAGGCAUCGAUGACCUCAUAGCACACCCUGGAAACAAGGUCCUCAACGAAGCAAAUUUUGUCUACUCGAUCUCUAUGAUCGCGAAAUUGGUGUUAGCUUGCUCUUAUGCUGAACCGAGUGCAGAUCGAGUAGCGUAAAAUGCAUAACUCUGGUGUAGGAAUUGAACGCGAGCUGAAGCCAAUUCUUUGAACUGUUUGAAUUUGAGAUGGCCUGCAAAGUAGAUAGAAAGCAGCUAAUAUGGGAAGCUUGUUAUUCAUAUGUUCAGGUAGAAAUAUUGCGAGGGCUAAAUAAUGGAUUAGUGUAUGAGAUUACCGGGUAUUAUUGAAAGCUAGUAAACACUAAAAGUGUUUGAAUAACUCAAGUGUGGGUAUAUUUUCCGUCAUAUCGUUUAUUCAAUACUAAAUUCCUAUGCGAGUUUCCCCAUGGAGUAGGCCUUGCCACUUGAACUAUAGAAAUCCAGCGUUCAAUUUAUUUCGUCGUUGUAUUUACUUAAUAUAUUGUUUAUUUGUUUUCCACAACGUAAUGUUAGAAAAGAGUCAUUGUCCACAUAUGAGUCCAAUAGAUUUGCGGUCAUGCGAUAUAUAUGGGUAUGGUGCAUACCCAUAUAGAUCCAUGUAGAGUCGGGCUUUUAUGAAUUUAAAAUGAAUUUUAUUGGUUGAAAAAGCGCGAAGUCCAUAUACUUCCGUUUUUAAUAUCCCAACAGCCUUUACUUUUCUAUUUUGCUCAAGUACAAAUAUUAGGACUAAAAGCUUCUUUCAAGGAAGAAAAAACAAAAGAAUUUCUCGAGUAUGACUAUUCAAAAAGAUGUCUUUACUAGCACCAAUAGAUACCAGAUAAGUUAUAGUUGUCAAUGUGAAAUGCUGCAAGUAUCUACGGUCAACGAUUUGGCAAAGAGUAUAAAAAAAAAGUCUUAAUCCUUUUGUAUCGAUGUCAAUUUAGUCCUAAUUUUUUAGUCUCAUUAAAAUAUUACAUAAAGAUAGAUGGCUUUUCCAAUCCCAAUCCAAAUAUCCCUGCUAUGAUGCUAUUUUGUCCACACUCAUCCCAAGCCAUGUUGUAAUUGUUUAGGCCACAACCAAGCACGGUAUUAGGAAAUCUUUUGGAAUAUCCCUUGUUAUGAAAGGUGAAGAUGUGAGAUUCAAGCUGAGCUCUGCUAUAGGUCUCACCACUUCCAUAUCUAAGGUAGACCUUGUCGUACAUAUAAAUGUCGUUUUUACAUAGACGGGGAACACAGAGGAAAAGAUCACAAGGCAAAGGUCGAUAUGAUGAUGAUUGGCUUUUAUUGAAGUUACCUUGCCUUAUGAAGAAGCAAUGGCUACAGCCUUUACAUUGCAUCCAUAUAUCCACACUACUUGUAUCCACCACCAAGUUUGCAUAUUGACCAGUGCCAAUUGACGGGGUGGUUAUAUAGUAAUUGAGAUUAGCCCCCAGCAACCGGAGGUUGCAGUGCACUGGGGCUCCAUUUAUUGACUCCUUCCGGAGCAUUGAACUCGACGAAACCAUGAAUUUGAGUUGGCACACAUGAGCUUUAGAUAUCUUAAAGAUUUUUUGAUAUCUUUCUUCUGGGUGAGAUUUCUAGGAUAGAGCGUUGUGUCAAAUCGGUCUAUAGGGAUAAGUUUAAUACUAAAACCAUGGAUUUCAAAAGACUUGGUGGUGAUGGGAAAGCAAAUGAAGAGAGCAACUAGAGUAAGAAGUGACAUUGUCCUAGUUUUCGCGAAUUUUCUGGUUGUGUUCGCAAUUGCUGAAUCCUCAUAUAGUGCUAUUAUUCUUCUUUUUCUCAUUGCUAAUAAAUUGUGUUUCUAAGAAGUUUUUUUUUUUUUUUGGGGUUUGGUCUGGUAAUAAAAUCAGAUUUCCGCUAAUUAAUAUACUCCCAAAAGUAGAGACAAUUAAUAUAAUGAUCCGCAUUUGUUGUAAAAAUUUCAUUUUUAAAAGUCAACUCAUCUUCCUCCUAAGGUAUACAAGUUCCAUUGCGAAGAAGUUAAAGGAAACGGCUCAUGCACAAAUGAUAGAGAUAAAUCGGAUUUCCUCUAAUUAAUAUGCUCCAAAAAGUAAAGACUAUUAAUAUAAUGAUCCAAAUUUAUUGUGGAUUUUUUUUUUUCAAAGUCAACUCAUCUUGGACCAAAGAUAUAUAAGUUCCUAAAAAGGCACCCGUUCUUACUUUAACCUAAAACCUACUCCUGGUGCAUAGGCUCUUGCAACCUAUCCUACAGGAACUGGUCAAUUUCACGCAUUUCUGGAACCUACACUCUAAUGUAAUCUUUUUUCAAAUACAAUUUUUUUAAUUACCAUUAAUUGCUAACACAUUCAUAGAGUAAAAAAAAAAAAAAAACAAUUACAAUUUACACAGUCUAAGUACAUGUUGUCAACAACUUCUUAGAUAAGACAUAAUAACAUUGCACAGCUAAAAUGCAAAACUACAUCGAUUUUUUUUUCUCAUAAAAAUAUAACUCAGCAACUUGUACCGAAGCAUAUCCUUCACAACCUUCCCCUCGUUCUCAACAUAUCUUGCAAUCUCUUCCUUUUUAAAGGCCUCUCACAAUUAAAAAAAAUUAACUCCUAGGGUUGAAACAAUUGAUUGUGGCUUUGGGGUUUUUUCCAGCUCACGAAUGAGUUCAUCAGUUCAAACUUACCUUCUGUGUGUAAAUUGCCUUAAGUUGAGAUUACUUGUAUAGAGUAAAAGUCUACACUAAAUUGAUUCAUGAGACAUACAAAAUGUUUAUGUGCCUUUAGGGACCUGUGUCUUUAUGCUCGUGCCCCUGAAUUAUCUAUAAAAAAUUAUAUGCAUUCAAAGACGAUAUGACUUGAAUAAAAUUAAAUCCAAUAGUGCAUGUGUAUGUCCAUAUUAAAAUCGAUUCUUGGCUAGUUUGUUGGGUCUAGCCUUAAUCACAAGAAGUUGUUUAUUCAUGCAAAUUUCUUUAAUUACAUUGGGUCGCUUCAAGGGAGAUGAAUCUCAUAAUUAGAGGAAAUGUAGAAAAGCAUCCUCAUAAAUAUCAUUCUUAAAUUGCCUUACUGAAUGAGAAACAUAAACAUGAAAUAUGCAUAAUCUGCUUCAAAAGUUAGAGCCAUACUCGUCUUAUUCUUUUCCCAUAGUUCUCCAUGUCGCACUCACAUAAUAAUUGGUCGAGGAUGGACGAGAGUAGACUAUCGAAAAAAAGUACAUGAUGCAAGAUAAUAACCAUUUUUCUUGUAUUAAGGAAAGAUAUGGACAUUUUGCGAAAGUUGCCUUCAUCACGGGAUGAAUGGAAAGAGAUUGGGAAGGCCGGUAGGUCCAAGAAGAGUUUCAACGAUGUAUAACCAAAUUUGCCUAGUACUUGAAAGGGAAAGUUCCCUAACCAAGGAGAAAAGAAGGUUCAUGCAGUCCUCGGAACCUGCAAAAACAUUGCCCUCCUGGAAGCAGUGCACAAGUGGUACCAUACCUUUUAAUGAUUGAUCAGAGACACAGGCAUGACAGUACAUGCUACUUCCGAGUAUCUCGGUCAGGGUGAAUUUAAGUCCAGAAAAAUUUGUGCCCCACAUUUCGGUUAGCAGUAUACCUCCAUUGCACAUGCCUAAUAAAAGUUACUGUAGAAGUACCAUCGCGUUUAAUUAUAGGCGUGGCACAUCAAGAAAAUGUACAAAAUAGGAUAAGCAACACUUCCAGUCAAUGGAAAUGAUUUCACGAAAGAAAAGCAACAAAUGAAUUUCCAAGAGAUUAAUUACUUACCCAACAUCCUCAUAUAUAUAGCAACAUAAAGCUACAUAGGCUUCAAAUUCUCAGCACCCGGAUGAUUGUGUAGCUAACUACUUCACUGUUGUGAUGAUCUUAUAAUGCAGUUUUUCCAACGUUACAUUUUGUAGUCAACAUUAUGAGAACUCUUUUUUUUUUAUCAAAUAUAUCUUGUCUAGGAUGGUAUCAUAGAUCUCAUGGAAAACAACAGCUAAGAGAAAAAAGAGAAGAUAUAUUACAAUCAUAAAAUCUAUAAUUAACUUCAAAAAAGCAUAGGCCUUAGGUUAUUUGGCAGCUCAAGAUGGGUCUCAUGAAAAUCUUAUAUUCCUUGAGGUGGUUUUGUCUAGUGGAUAGUGGUUUGUAAUGGAACUUUAACUUCAGUUGUGAUAAUUAAAACCAUCAGUUUCGUUUAGGGGGUCGGGAAUGUGUCACUUAUCAAUUUAUCAAGUAAAUUAUUGGGGGGCCCAAGUAGACCAUAUAGAUUAAUUGUGCUUCUUGCCUAAGUAAUCAACCUAUUGUUUUUUUUUUUUUUUGUCAAAAGAGUAAUCAACUUGUUUGAAGUGGCUCACUUUGUACUGUAAUAGCUCAUUUAUCAACAAUGAUUAGUUUUACUCCAAAAUUUUGGAAUUAUUUGGCUCCUUGUCAUUCUCCUCCACUACGAAAAAACUCCCCUUGGAGGAGCUGUACAAUCUCUAUAUGAUAAAAGUUUAACCUCUAAUUUCUAAAACUCAGAUUUAUAAAUCAAACUUGUCCUUGAAAAAACUCAAGUUGAGAAAUAUUAUAUAUUUUGGCUUUAUAAACUAACUCAAAUCAAAUGCAUGUUAUCAUUCUAUAAACCUUACUCAAAGUUAAGAGCUUUUUAUAAAAAGAUUUUGUAAACCCAAAAUAUAUAAUAUUUCUCAACUUGAUUAAUCAAACAAAAUAUAUAUUUCCACCAAACAGUUCUCACAUCAUUCAUAAAUAUCAAAAUGUAUUAAAUGUCCGAUUCAAAUUUUUUGCAACAAAUAUGCUUAUUCAUAACUCACAAUAUAUCAAAUCUCGAUCUACAUGAGUUUACAAACUCUUAGAUAACAAUAUAGUGGUUACUCUAGCCAAGGUACUUGUAUCUGUAUCAAUUAAUUGAAAACGAUAUCAAAACCAUGUAAUAUGCUACUCUAAUCAAUGAUUUGACUAAACUAUGCUUAUUCUUUGAUAAAACGGCACCUAUGCGCUAUCAAAGAAACACGUUUAUAGCAAAAGUUUAUCUUUCUCUAUAACGCAAAUUGUCUGCUACGUGUAACUCAAACUUGAAACUUAGAAAUUUUUUAUGAUCAAAUUAUGCCUCGGAAUCGAAUUUUGUUAAACCCCAAAGCUCCACAACGCCUUAGACUACCUUUUCCAUGGAAAUCGCAGUUCAAAAACUCCUCAUUCGAACCUCAAAGUUCAAGAUAAUAUAACUUAAAGUUUGUACCCUAACUUCCAAAAUUACUCUGAUUAGACAAAUAAUCAACUCGAAUACUUACCGGGUGUUACAAUUAGAAGUUGACUCAGCUAGUCGGGGUGUCCAGAUCAGUUACUUGGGACAAUUUUUUUUUUCCCCUUUUUCUUCUUUUCCUCUUUCCCUCCUCGUUUUCUGCUUCAGCUUCUUCUUUUCCUUUGGUGCUUCAAAAGCACGAGGUCAAAUAAUAGGAGAGAAAAAGAGGGUUGGGCUUAACUUUUAAGAGACAUGGGCUGGUUGGGCUUUUAUUGGGCCUGUUAUUAAAAAGUUUCACAGACAGUGUUAGUUUUUAUAUCCCACUUUUUAGCCACUGGUAAAGUGAAUUUUUGUGUAGCAUUGUGUAUUCCCUCGGGACCCUCCUAGCGGAGCGGAGCUGGUUUCUAGUUUGGUGCUUUCUGGAGUUUUGGUAACGCCACUUAACAUGCUUUUUUGUUCUCAGUCCUUCCUUUUCUCCCCAAAUUUAAUAUGCAUCAACUGCUUAUUUCUCUCUUUCUCUUCCCUCAGGUAUUUCUAGGCUCGUUCGAACUCAGGAUGGGAGGAAUUCCUUGGAUUGUAAUGCUGGAGGUAUAGUCCUAGGACUUGCAAUUGAUUUCUUUUGACUAAUAUUUUUUCAUUCGACAAUGCAAACGGUAUACACGGUGUGGUUCCUCAUUGGCAGAUAUUUCCAAUAAAUGUAAAGGGUUCAGCUGGAAGCUUAGUUUACUUGGUCAGCUGGAUAGGAUCUAGGUUUAUCUCAUAUACUUUCAGCUACUCGUUUGAAUGGAGCUCAGCAGGUGCAUCUCUUCAAAAUCUCUCUCGGGACAUUUCUUUUUAUGCUCCUCUGUUACUUAAAUUCAGUCUACUCUGCUAUUUCUUCAGGGACAUUCUUUAUAUGUGCAGGCAUUUGUGCGGUCGGUGUUAUAUUUAUCGCAAAACUUGUACCUGAGACAAAGGGGCGGAUGCUGGAAGAAAUACAUGCCUCCAUCACCAAUAAGAAUGACAAUAAUUUGUCAUGGAUGUAGGAGCUUCGUGUGGGGUAUACUUUGUGUAAUUGUACAGAGCAUGCUGGAAAGUUUUGAUGAGAAGAUCCCUGAGUUGGAGAAGCAAAUCAAAGGAUAAGCUUUUAGACAUUACAGUAGAUAAAACAUGAGAGAGACGUGGUUGAAUUAAGGAGCGUAAAUAAAAAAGGAGAGCUGUAAUCUUCUGUAAAAUCUAUACGGACUAUUUUCAUCCAUUUGCUCUCAGCAUUAUCUGGUUUAACAUUAAUCUGAAUCAUAGACAAAUCGAAAUAGUUGCACGAUUUUAGUUUCUAUUAUUCAUAACGAGUCUUGGAUCCUCUUCGCGAAUUGGAUCUGACUUUGGGACACGGCUUAAUCUCAAAAUUAAACCUCACGAACUUCUCGUCCUUUUCGUUAAACUGGAAUGCCUCGACAGUUUGGGCCUGCAUGUUUUCACUUCUCAAAAGUGUUUAUGAACAGAAAUUCUGUUCUUUUGUUCCCGGGAACAAAAAAAGAACAGAAACGCGUUUGGUUGCGUUUCUGUUCUUUUUUUGUUUUUUUGUUUCCGGAACUUAAAAAGAACAGAAACGAGAAACAAAAAAAAGUUGUUUCUCGUUCCAGAAACAAUUUUGAAGAAAUAAUUUUUUGUUUCUUCUUCUCUCUCUUCUCUUCUCUUCCUCUUUUCUUCUUCUUUCUCUUUGGCCGGUCGCCGGCCUCGGCCUCGGCUAUGGCCGGCUGUCGAGGGCCGGCGAUGCCGUCGAGGGUCGGCGACCUCGCCGGAGCGUCGCCGGCCCCUGGCGAGGCUCGGCAUCGCCGGCGCGGGCGAGCCCGAGCCUCGCCGGAUCUGGGCGAGCCCGAGCCUCACCGGAUCUGGGCGAGCCCGAGCUCGCCCCGCCAAGGCGAGGCCGAGCGUUGCCACCCCCCGGCGAGGCUCGGCCUCGCCGGAUUUGGGCGAGCUCGAGCUCGCCCAGCCAUGGCGAGGCGCGGCCUCGCCGGAUCUGGGCGAGCCCGAGCUCGCCCAGCCAAGGCGAGGCUCGGCGUCGCCGUCGCGGGCGAGGUCGCGCCUCGCCAUGGCUGGGCGAGCCGAGCCUCGCCGGGAUCUGGGCGAGCCCGAGCUCGCCAGGCGAGGCUCGGCCUCGCCAGGGGCCGGCGAGCCUCGCCGUGGUGGGCGAGGCUGCCGGCCCCGUCGGCCGGUCGUCGGAGGCUGGCGACCGCCCGAAAGAAAAAAAAUAAAAAAUAAAGGAAAAAAUGAAAAAUAAAAAUUAAAAAAUUAAAAAAUUAAAAAAUUAAAAGAAACAAAAAAAGAGCAAAAAUUUACCAAAUGUGUUUCUAUUUAUUUUUUAUUCCCGGAACAAAUUUACCAAACGCAUCUUUUUGUUCAAAAAGUGUUCCUCGGAACAGAAACACUUUUUUUUGUUUCUAUUUCCUGAAACAAAAAAAGAACAGAAACGUUACCAAACAGCCCCUUUAUUUCUGAAGUCAAAGUUGACUGGCCUUGCUUCGCAUUCAUAUGCGAUCUCCAAAAAGGCAAUAUAUAUAUAUAUAUAUAUAUAUAUAUAUAUAUAUAUAUAUAUGUGUGUGUGUGUGUGUGUGUGUGUGUGUGUGUGUAUAUCUAUAAAAGCCAUUCAAUAAACUUCUAAUAUAUUUGUGUCUGGAAGUAUAAUAUAAAUAUAUUUCAAGAUAUUUAAUCUUUAUUGUUAUCUACUUUGUCGGCUGGAUACAUUUAAAAAUAAGAGACUUUCUCUUCAUCAAUUCUUGAACUAUUUAAAUUUAAUAAGUGAUGAACGCUUGAGGAUGACAAACCACCGAACUAAUGCUAAUUUAAUGAACAUGGUCAUGUGGCAUGAUCAUGCCAAAUUGCUUACCGCGGGGCGAUCGUAUGUGCCACGUGACGACUGCAGGACUGUACACUUUCUUUGCCCUAACUAAUUAUAUUUUAUGCAAUUGAAUAGAUAGGGCUGUCCAUUUAUGCCUUUGCUACGGGGCCAGAAUGUCUUCUCCUUGUACCCAAGAUAAUGAGGAUUGGCAAUGAAUGAACCCCGAAUGCGGACGACGAACGUUGGAACUGGUCUUCAACGCUUGUGAUGUUUCAGCUUCUCCUCCCAGCUACAAGUCAUCGACACCGUGUCUGAAAGUUAAAGGAAUGUUCUCGUUAUGCACCUGUAAACCCGCUCUUCAAUCGUUCGAGCUCCGAGUUCGGAUUUUAACCUUUGGUCUCGUUAUUAGUCUACGCAAGGUUGCCUGUUUGAUAUGGUUGUGUUCGUAGAUGGAGCUCGGUCUAUAGAGAAUCAAUGAAUUUCAGCGAGAAAGGUACCAACAAAAUCCUUAACCUAUUAUAUUUGUGCUAAUUGAGUCUUAAACAUUUCAAUUGUGUCAAUUAAUUUCUAAACCUUUUGAUGAUUUGUCAAUAUAUUCCAUCUGAUCAUUUUGGUUGGAAAUUACUAAUAUGAACGCUAAGUAUCCGGCAUGACCGGCAAUAAUGUAGAGACUUUUUUUUUUUUAAAUUUUUUAUUACUUUUUUUUUUCUAUUUCGUUUUCUUCUUUUCUUUCCUUUUUUUUCCUCAACUAUGGGCCAGUGAAGUCAACGGCCGUCCCUCACUCGGUUUGAGAACACUUCUUGUCAUAAUCUAUAUGAACACAGAAGAUUCAUCAUCAGGAUAGUUAUAAAGGCUCAAAGAUUGGGGUUGGCUUUACCAACUUCCCUUACCGAAUAUCAACCAACCUUAUGGAUUAGGUAAGUGUGAGUUUAAACUCGAGUCAGUCGCUCACAUUUGAUAAUAUAAAACCAUAUACCUCAUCAGUAAUAUUUCUUAUACAACUUAUGACAAUACAUAAUUAAAAUUGAAAGGUUCAUUAUCGUGGCCAAAUGUCCCUUUCCUAAUUUUUAUUGUAAGUCCACUUUUUGGUGUGAAGUGUUGUGAACCGAGCUUAGCAUCUUAGGUCCGCUGUCCUGAUCAUCUUUAAAUUUUCAUUUUGACAUUGUUGAACUGAACUUACCAGGUGAUGCACACAACUCAUUAUGAGGGUUUUAUCACUGUAUUGAGCCUUUAAUACAAUUCAAUAGAUUCGUACGAAAACCCCAUUCUCAAUCAGACGAGCUUUCUUAUAAUGCAGAUGAAACAUGACGAGUUUUCUUUGUAAGGUAGAUAUAACAUGGGAAAAGGGUGGUUCAAUCAAGAAAUGCAAACACAAGAAGAAAAAUUAUAACUAUUCAGGCUUUAACUUUAUUCAUCCAUUAUCUGUAAGCAUUUUGUCCAAUAGGAUUCCUCUGAAUCAGAGACUAGUUUUAUUGUGGUUUGGUAAGUCUCUGCAUUAAGCACAAAAUCAGUGUAAAUGAACUAUGUCCAGUACAAGCUCACGUUUUUCAUAUGAACCCUACAGCUGUGUCCAAAGAAACGCUCUGAACCUGAAGCAACAUGAUGUGCCAAAGCAUACAUCACAACCUCAUAACCCCGGGCACCGUCCCAAGAUGUCCCAAAGACUCAAGUGCCUCAAAGGACCCAACCAGAUUGCUCCAAGACCAGUAUCACGUGCCUCAUACACACCUCCUCUACAUCUUGUAAAACACAGAGCAACUUCAAUAAUCAGAGACCAAUUGAAACAAUAGCGGGACUUUAGUUUCAGGAAAAUCCGGGACAGCUCAUAAAAAUCUGUUUUGGUCUUGUAUUAUAAUUGACACCGAGACCUUGGAGUGCCAAAAGUCAGCACAAAGAGAUAUUUAAGUAUCAAAAGUUACGAAAAUGACACUUAAGUGUCAAAAUCGAAGCAAAAUGGAUAAUUUAAUUGCCAAUCCGGUCAAAAUUCGGUCAAAAUCCAGCCAAAAUGCUUACGUGACAAUUUUCCGGUGAAACAAGUGCAAAACAACGUCAUUUUGGUGUGGACGUGGUAAAAAUUAAUUAAAUUUAUUUAAAAAAUUUAAAUAAUUUAAAAAUUUAAAAAUUUAAAAAAAUUUAAAAAAGGAGGUGGCAGCAGUGAGGGCUCAGCCCUCAGCUGCCUCCAUUUUUUUUUUUAAAUAUUUGUAUUUGUAUUUUUAAAUGUUUUAAAUAAAUUUAGUUUUAAAUUUAAUUAAUUAAUUUUUAUAUAAAUUUUUUACAACGUUAGCAUCAAAACGAUAUCAUUUUUACAUUGUCUAGUCAUGUCAGCGUGCAAAACGACACCGGUGUGCACUUACUUCGCUGGAAAUUGCGCAUGUAAGUAUUUUGGCUAGAUUUUGACCAGAUUGGCAUUUAGUGAUCCAUUUUGCUUCGAUUUUGAUACUUUAAGUGUCACUUUCGUAACUUUUGGCACUUAAGUGUCAAUUUGUGCCAACUUUUGGCACUUGAAGCGUACUUUUGCCUAUUAUAAUUUUACACUAAGAAUGCAUGUUACAACAGAAGAUAGAUCAUCGAAGGUUGAAGAUCCCGCUAGCAAUAAAUUUGAUAUAUCCGAAUUGUUCUGUUUUCUAAGGAACUGAUGAUCCAAAACAUCGAUUUGCUUCAUCGUGUAGGUCGCCAAAGCUGCUUCAUGACUGCUUUCAACCACUAUAGAAAUCAAAAGAACUUGCCCAAGAGCUGAAGCCUGACGCAUGUAGGUGAAAUGAGAUAAUCAGAGGGUGUCAUAUUCCAACUUUUGGCUGAGAAUUCUAACAUUAGCCUAUCUCUCUCUCAAACACGCGUGGGCAACAAAUGUUACAGGUCAGAACUAACAGUCAAACCCUGCUCGGUGCAACAGCAAAAGUAUCUCCUCUUCAAGAAAGAAAAGUAGGUAAAUAUAGAUGCGCACUGUUAAAAAUAUCAAGGUGAGGGCGAUAUGUGAAAGAAGUUUGAUGCGAUGUAAAGUGAAGCCAUUCGUAUAUACUAAUGGGUUUAUAACUUGUUUGUGUAAGCUUUUUGAGUGAAUAUGAGUUAGAUUAGAUAUAUGGACUCCUCUUUGAUGAUCUUGAAGUGAAGGUAUUGGGUUUUUACUAUGUCAACCCAACAAGUGUAUUAGAGACGAUGAUUUGGAUGGGUUAGGCCCAAGAUAUGUGGAUCGGGAAUUUAUGAGUAUCUCAAGAAAAGGAAUCUUGGAUGUGGCUCUCCAUGACUUGGUAGAUAGUGCAAUCUUGCCAAGCUUGGCUGGACAAGGGCGAUUGAGGAGGAGUCAAGGCAGUAUUGUGCUCUAGCCGAUUGGCUAAGCUAAGGUAGAGAUUUGGGAUGAAUUAAUGUUGGUGCGAUACGAUAUCUAGAUUAAGAGGAGUGGGACUAAAUAUUUGUUGUGAAUUAUAAUUUCCAAAAGGGGGAUGUGGUGUAAAGUGCAGCAAUAGUAUAUUCUAAUAAGUUCAUAAUUCUUCCGUUAUGCUUUUGAAUGAAGAUGGGUCUAGCUAGCUUGGAUUUAAAAUUCCUUCAGAUGAUCUCGGGCGAAGCUCUAUUUUCCAGUUCAAAUCAGUUGAAAGAUGAGAGUUAAAUAUGGAGAAUACACCGACCAAUGAUAUCAUGUAUCACGUUGUCCCUGAAUUUCACUGCUCAUGCCUCAUUGGCUAGUUCCGUUAUUAGUGCCCACGCAAAAAAAGGUUGACUUGAACGAAAAGGAUGCUUCCUAGUUUUCUUCAGCUUUCCUCAUAUGAACUGUUGAGGUCUCAUUUGUCUGUCUUUCUCACUCUCUGCGUGUGAGUGGUGAGUUAACGAGUGAGCGAGCGUUUCAAGAGGAAGAAUCAAAAAAGGAAGACAUGGGGACACCAGGAGGAGAAAUGGGGAUCCCUCUUCUUGAAGAACAAGAAGAAGUACUUCCUGACAGAAUCACACACAUGCUUGUUCUCAGUGCAUUUUUCGCUGUCUGCGGCUCCUACGUCUUCGGAAAUGCUGUAAGAACUUUGCUUAUCUUAAAGCUUGGCUACUAGCGGGAAUUGUCUUUCCUUUUAUGUGCUUUUUUUUCUUUUUUUCAUCUCUUGUCACGCAUGUUUCUUCGUUCUGUUACUGUCAUCUGGAAUAGCAAACUCUGAUCUGGAAAAGAAUAUAACGCUGACCAACUAAUUUUCUGGAUGACUUAUCAAACUUGCCUUUGCCUUCGAUCAGUGUGCAACAGUUUCUAGUUAUGCAAUAUUGCCUUGAUUAGGUAGAACAAGACUUGGCAUAUCUCCUCGUGUUGAUUCAAAUAAAUAUUUUGAAGACUGUGAACAGUGUGUAGUUCUCGCUCCUAGUUACCGUCUAAUUGGCUUAAAGAUAUGAUUUUUUCAGGUGUCUUACUCAUCUCCUGCUGAAUCAGGUAUUAUGGAUGAACUGAGCCUUUCUUUGGCAGAGGUCAGUGACCAUCACUAUUUGCUCUUUCACUGUUUUCAACGUUUUGUGUAAUCCAUCUAAAGUAUAAACUAAGUGAAUGGAAGCAUUGCUUAAAUAGACUAAAACAUUUUGCAGUGUGAGUGGAGAAUUCACUUGUUGGUUCNNNNNNNNNNNNNNNNNNNNNNNNNNNNNNNNNNNNNNNNNNNNNNNNNNNNNNNNNNNNNNNNNNNNNNNNNNNNNNNNNNNNNNNNNNNNNNNNNNNNNNNNNNNNNNNNNNNNNNNNNNNNNNNNNNNNNNNNNNNNNNNNNNNNNNNNNNNNNNNNNNNNNNNNNNNNNNNNNNNNNNNNNNNNNNNNNNNNNNNNNNNNNNNNNNNNNNNNNNNNNNNNNNNNNNNNNNNNNNNNNNNNNNNNNAUGCAGUGGUAAAGUAGCUGACCUAAUCGGCCGGAGAGGGGUAAGUGUUCUGGCCAAUACCUUUUAAAUGUUGUUUUACCACUGCAUCAUCUCAAAUUUGAGCGUCACAAAUUGUUUGAAACUUAUAAUUCAACUUCUGCUGAUAAUGUUGCACAGGCUAUGUGGGUUACUGAUGUAUCAGGCAUCAUCGGAUGGUGUGCAAUAUUUCUUUCAGAGGUACCAUGUUUAUGUGCCAAUUGGUCCAUUAUUAGUUUUCAUUAACCAUUUUACUUAUCCCUUGGCUAGCUUACUUGCUCCGCUGGCAAAGUUCUUCAAAAGUUGAUGUCUAGCCUCAAGUUUUACCGAGCAAAUAGACAUUAAUGUCGAAUGGAGAACCUGGUUCUUUUGUGGGAAUAGUUUACUAUCCACACUUCAUAAUACUAACGAACUUUAACUUCUUGAAGAGUGCUUGGUCUCUUGAUCUUGGAAGAUUAUUACUGGGAUUUGGAGUUGGUCUUGCCUCAUACGUGGUAACAAAUGCAGUUUCUUCAGAUCAUAUAGCAUUGUAAGUCCAACCAUUCAAUGUCGAUUGAUUAUGCAUUUAAUCGUGCAGGUACCAGUGUAUGUUGCAGAGGUAACACCGAAGAAUUUAAGGGGAGGAUUUGUUUCGCUCUGUAUGGUAAUUAAAAGCCUCAUAAAUUGUUGCUUUGGCUUCCGUCUCUACCUGAAGUCAAAUUACAUCGAUCCUCUGUAUGAUCCACAAGCUCAGGCCACUUCUUUACAGCUUUUAUCGAUGUCAUUUUAGGCAUUCCACAUAUCUUUCCUGACUUGUUCUUGCAUCAUACAAAUCACACUAUCUCGCUGGAGGAUCUUGUGGCCAUCCUUUGUAUAUUGAAACUAACUUCCCUUUUUUUACCUGGUGGAUGAUAUACAGUUGGUGAUAGCCGGUGGCAUGUCAAUGACGUACAUCAUUGGUUCGCUGGUAAAUUGGCGUCUCUUGGCUUGUUUAGGUACUCCCCAUUAGACUAUAAAUAAUUAUUGGUUCGUAUGCUUCGAAUAUGAUUUUUAUAAGCUUUCUCAUGCAACGUGUUUCAGGAAUUAUUCCAUGUCUAUUGCAGCUGGGGGGUCUUUUCCUUAUUCCAGAAUCUCCUAGAUGGCUGGUGAGUUUCUUGAAGGGAAAUUCAAGAUACUGUUGCUGGAAUGUAGAUGACAUGUUAAAUAGAAUCUAGAACCUUUCAUGCAAUUUUUGCCCCCGCCUUGUUGCUUGCAUGAGUAAGACUGGCAGAAGCAUCAGUCGGGACUGAUAUAGACAAUGAUGAUUGCUGUGCACAGGCCAAGGUUGGUCGAGAAAAAGACAUGAAAGCUGCGUUGCAGCGUCUCAGGGGAAAGAAUGCAGAUAUCUCCAAAGAAACAUCUGAAAUCGAAGUAUAAAAUCUCACUGCAGCAGAAUGUUUUCAUUUUAAACUCAUGGCUUAAUUAUGUCCAAAUGGCUUUACUUUCGAGAAAGGUAGUGUGGUUUAGCAUGAGGUAGCGCUUCGUUUACUGCAGGGUUACAUUGAAACUCUUCAACAAGUAUCAGAACAUGGGAUAUUCCACAUAUUUCAGCGAAAAUACGCACGAGCACUAACUGUAAGCCCCGUAGCUGAAUUCUUACUAUUUAUCUCGAUCUUUACCAAUUUCAUGUUAUCGAUGAAAUCAAGCAUGUGACUUCGAUCUAGGUUGGACUUGGCCUAAUGGUUUUUCAACAGUUGGGAGGAUUAAAUGCAUAUGGAUUUUAUAUGAGUUCAAUUCUCGAAAAAGCCGGUAACUUCAUCUACGCUGAAUCAUCAUUCAAUGAAAACUUUCCAUUUCAAGAUGAAUAAUACAUUGACAACAAUUGGCUUCUGAGACAGGUGCUUCAAGUACUGCCGGGUCCAUCACCACGGCCAUUGUCAAGGUUUGUAUUCCUGUGUAAAUAGUGAGCCUUUUUUCUCCUCUCCUCCCUUAGCCUAUGAAUAAUUCUUUCGUAUCCAUGAUACGCAGUUGGCAGCAAAUAUUGUAGCUGUGUUCUUGAUGGAUAAAUUCGGAAGACGACCGUUACUGCUGGUAGUAACUGAGCCGAAGCACUGUGGAUCAUUCUUGUGCUCAUCAUAUUCACCCAACACAAAUAUUACUUCAAAAUGGCUGAUAGAUAAAAUGCUUCUGAAUGUAGUCGAAACUUUGCUGUUCCUGAAACCAACUAGCUAAUAUGCAGGUUUCAGCAUCCGGAGCUUGCUUGGCUGGCUUCCUUAUUGGAUUAUCAUUUCUCCUACAGGUUCCUUACUACACAUGCUUCCUGUUUAUCCUCAUAUGAAUUUAGUACGGUAUGCUCUUGGUGGAAAACUGUCUAAGAUUCAACGUGCAGGACUAUCAUCAAUCAACCGAUGUUGUAUCCACCUUGACCUUCGUCGGGAUUGUGGUGAUUUUUUUCCCCUUGAUAUGUUAAAUGCUCUAUUUGUUGCUUCAAAAUGUAAAGAAAAAUGCAGCAGCAGCAUUGUUACGAACUUUGCUCCUCUUAGAUGGAUUAAUGAGGUCCGCAUUCUACAACUUCAGGUUUUUAGCGGGUUUUUUGCGAUGGGCUUAGGAGGGAUACCGUGGAUCAUAAUGGCCGAAGUCAGUGAGAAAUCUGGUGCUCUAACUACUUUUCUCGAGUCCUGUAUGCUCAUUGAGUUCACAGGGCUUGACGUGAACCAAUCGUCUUGAUGUCUCAUCUUAUUAUGACGGUUUCUGCUGUGCCAGAUUUUCCCAAUGAACGUGAAGGGCUCGGCAGGGAGCCUCGUGAAUUUGGUCAGCUGGUCCGGUUCCUGGCUUGUGGCCUACACAUUCAACUAUUUCUUUGAAUGGAGCUCAGCAGGUGAUGCUUCUUCACUUCUCAUCCUCGCUGCUUUUUCUAGUGCCAAAUUCAGGUACAAAUUAAUAUAUUCAUCAGUCUGCCGAAUGUGCCAGGCGUGUUUUUUGCGUUCUCGGGCAUCUGCUGUUCUGCAGUACUCUUCAUAGCGAAGAUGGUGCCGGAAACCAAGGGGCGCACACUCGAGGAAAUAGAGGCAUCGAUGACCUCAUAGGUCACCCUGGAAACAAGGUCCUCAACGAAGCAUAUUUUGUCUACUCGAUCUCUAUGAUCGCGAAAUUGGUGUUAGCUUGCUCGUAUGCUGAGCCAAGUGCAGAUCGAGUAGCGUAAAAUGCAUAACUCUGGUGUAGGAAUUGAACGCGAGCUGAAGCCAAUUCUUUGAACUGUUUGAAUUUGAGAUGGCCUGCAAAGUAGAUAGAAAGCAGCUAAUAUGGGAAGCUUGUUAUUCAUAUGUUCAGGUAGAAAUAUUGCGAGGGCUAAAUAAUGGAUUAGUGUAUGAGAUUACCGGGUAUUAUUGAAAGCUAGUAAACACCAAAAGUGUUUGAAUAACUCAAGUGUGGGUAUAUUUUCCGUCAUAUCGUUUAUUCAAUACUAAAAUCCUAUGCGAGUUUCCCCAUGGAGUAGGUCUUGCCACUUGAACUAUAGAAAUCCAGCGUUCAAUUUAUUUCGUCGUUGUAUUUACUUAAUAUAUUGUUUAUUUGUUUUCCACAACGUAAUGUUAGAAAAGAGUCAUUGUCCACAUAUGAGUCCAAUAGAUUUACGGUCAUGCGAUAUAUAUGGGUAUGGUGCAUACCCAUAUAGAUCCAUGUAGAGUCGGGCUUUUAUGAAUUUAAAAUGAAUUUUAUUGGUUGAAAAAGCGUGAAGUCUAUAUACUUCCGUUUUUAAUAUCCCAACAGCCUUUACUUUUCUAUUUUGCUCAAGUACAAAUAUUAGGACUAAAAGCUUCUUUCAAGGAAGAAAAAACAAAAGAAUUUCUCGAGUAUGACUAUUCAAAAAGAUGUCUUUACUAGCACCAAUAGAUACCAGAUAAGUUAUAGUUGUCAAUGUGAAGUGCUGCAAGUAUCUACGGUAUAACGAUUUGGCGAAAAGUAUAAAAAAAAAGUCUUAAUCCUUUUGUAUCGAUGUCAAUUUAGUCCGAACUUUAUAGUCUCAUUAAAAUAUUACAUAAAGAUAGAUCGCUUUUCCAAUCCCAAUCCAAAUAUCCCUGCUAUGAUGCUAUUUUGUCCACACUCAUCCCAAGCCAUAUUGUAAUUGUUUAGGCCACAACCAAGCACGGUAUUAGGAAAUCUUUUGGAAUAUCCCUUGUUAUGAAAGGUGAAGAUGUGAGAUCCAAGCUGAGCUUUGCUAUAGGUCUCACCACUUCCAUAUCUAAGGUAGACCUUGUCGUACAUAUACGGAUAUUGACCAGUGCCAAUUGACGGGGUGGUUAUAUAAUAAUUGAGAUUAGCCCCCAGCAAGUGCACUGGGGCUCCAUUUAUUGACUCCUUCCGGAGCAUUGAACUCGACGAAACCAUGAAUUUGAGUUGGCACACAUGAGCUUUAGAUAUCUUAAAGAUUUUUUGAUAUCUUUCUUCUAGGUGAGAUUUCUAGGAUAGAGCGUUGUGUCAAAUUGGUCUAUAGGGAUAAGUUUAAUACUAAAACCAUGGAUUUCAAAAGACUUGGUGGUGAUGGGAAAGCAAAUGAAGAGAGCAACUAGAGUAAGAAGUGACAUUGUCCUAGUUUUCGCGAAUUUUCUGGUUGUGUUCGCAAUUGCUGAAUCCUCAUAUAGUGCUAUUCUUCUUCUUUUUCUCAUUGCUAAUAAAUUGUGUUUCUAAGAAGUUUUUUUUUUUUUUUGGGUUUGGUCUGGUAAUAAAAUCAGAUUUCCGCUAAUUAAUAUACUCCCAAAAGUAGAGACAAUUAAUAUAAUGAUCCGCAUUUGUUGUAAAAAUUUCAUUUUUAAAAGUCAACCCAUCUUCCUCCUAAGGUAUACAACUUCCAUUGCGAAGAAGUUAAAGGAAACGGCUCAUGCACAAAUGGUAGAGAUAAAUCGGAUUUCCUCUAAUUAAUAUGCUCCAAAAAGUAAAGACUAUUAAUAUAAUGAUCCAAAUUUAUUGUGGAAAUUUUAUUUUUCAAACUCAACUCAUCUUGGACCAAAGAUAUAUAAGUUCCUAAAAAGGCACCCGUUCUUACUUUAACCUAAAACCUACUCCUGGUGCAUAGGCUCUUGCAACCUAUCCUACAGGAACUGGUCAAUUUCACCUGGAACCUACACUCUAAUGUAAUCUUUUUUCAAAUACAAUUUCUUUUAAUUACCAUUAAUUGCUAACACAUUCAUAGAGUAAAAAAAAAACAAUUACAAUUUACACGGUCUAAGUACAUGUUGUCAACAACUUCUUAGAUAAGACAUAAUAACAUUGCACAGCUAAAAUGCAAAACUACAUCGAUUUUUUUUUCUCAUAAAAAUAUAACUCAGCAACUUGUACCGAAGCAUAUCCUUCACAACCUUCCCCUCGUUCUCAACAUAUCUUGCAAUCUCUUCCUUUUUAAAGGCCUCUCACAAUUAAAAAAAAAAAAAAUUAACUCCUAGGGUUGAAACAAUUGAUUGUGGCUUUGGGGUUUUUUCCAGCUCACGAAUGAGUUCAUCAGUUCAGACUUACCUUCUGUGUGUAAAUUGCCUUAAGUUGAGAUUACUUGUAUAGAGUAAAAGUCUGCACUAAAUUGAUUCAUGAGACAUACAAAAUGUUUAUGUGCCUUUAGGACCUGUGUCUUUAUGCUCGUGCCCCUGAAUUAUCUAUAAAAAAUUAUAUGCAUUCAAAGACGAUAUGACUUGAAUAAAAUUAAAUCCAAUAGUGCAUGUGUAUGUCCAUAUUAAAAUCGAUUCUUGGCUAGUUUGUUGGGUCUAGCCUUAAUCACAAGAAGUUGUUUAUUCAUGUAAAUUUCUUUAAUUACAUUGGGUCGCUUCAAGGGAGAUGAAUCUCAUAAUUGGAGGAACCGUAGAAGAGCAUCCUCAUAAAUAUCAUUCUUAAAUUGCCUUACUGAAUGAGAAACAUAAACAUGAAAUAUGCAUUAUCUACCUUAAAAGUUAGAGCCAUACUUGUCUUAUUCUUUUCCCAUAGUUCUUCAUGUCGCGCUCACAUAAUAAUUGGUCGAGGAUGGACGAGAGUAGACUAUCGAAAAAAAGUACAUGAUGCAAGAUAAUAACCAUUUUUCCUUUAUUAAGGAAAGAUAUGGACAUUUUGCGGAUGUUGCCUUCAUCGCGGGAUGAACGGAAAGAGAUUGGGAAGGCCGGUAGGUCCAAGAAGAGUUUCAACGAUGUAUAACCAAAUUUGCCUAGUACUUGAAAGGGAAAGUUCCCUAACCAAGGAGAAAAGAAGGUUCAUGCAGUCCUCGGAACCUGCAAAAACAUUGCCCUCCUGGAAGCAGUGCACAAGUGGUACCAUACCUUUUAAUGAUUGAUCAGAGACACAGGCAUGACAGUACAUGCUACUUCCGAGUAUCUCGGUCAGGGUGAAUUUAAGUCCAGAAAAAUUUGUGCCCCACAUUUCGGUUAGCAGUCCACCUCCAUUGCACAUACCUAAUAAAAGUUACUGUAGAAGUACCAUCGCGUUUAAUUAUAGGCGUGGCACAUCAAGAAAAUGUACAAAAUAGGAUAAGCAACACUUCCAGUCAAUGGAAAUGAUUUCACGAAAGAAAAGCAUCAAAUGAAUUUCCAAGAGAUUAAUUACUUACCCAACAUCCUCAUAUAUAUAGCAACAUAAAGCUACGUAGGCUUCAAAUUCUCAGCACCCGGAUGAUUGUGUAGCUGACUACUUCACUGUUGUGAUGAUCUUAUAAUGCAGUUUUUCCAACGUUACAUUUUGUAGUCAACAUUAUGAGAACUUUUUUUAUAUCAAAUAUAUCUUGUCUAGGAUGGUAUCAUAGAUCUCAUGGAAAACAACAGCUAAGAGAAAAAAGAGAAGAUAUAUUACUAUCAUAAAAUCUAUAAUUAACUUCAAAAAAGCAUAGGCCUUAGGUUAUUUGGCAGCUCAAGAUGGGUCUCAUGAAAAUCUUAUAUUCCUUGAGGUGGUUUUGUCUAGUGGAUAGUGGUUUGUAAUGGAACUUUAACUUCAGUUGUGAUCAUUAAAACCAUCAGUUUCGUUUAGGGGUCGGGAAUGUGUCACUUAUCAAUUUAUCAAGUAAAUUAUUGGGGGCCCAAGUAGACCAUAUAGAUUAAUUGUGCUUCUUGCCUAAAUAAUCAACCUAUUGUUUUUUUUUUUUGUCAAAAGAGUAAUCAACUUGUUUGAAGUGGCUCACUUUGUACUGUAAUAGCUCAUUUAUCAACAAUGAUUAGUUUUACUCCAAAAAUUUGGAAUUAUUUGGCUCCUUGUCAUUCUCCUCCAUUACGAAAAACUCCCCUUGGAGGAGCUGUACAAUCUCUAUAUGAUAAAAGUUUAACCUCUAAUUUCUAAAACUCUGAUUUAUAAAUCAAACUCGUCCUUGAAAAAACUCAAGUUGAGAAAUAUUAUAUAUUUUGGGUUUACAAACUAACUCAAAUCAAAUGCAUGUUAUCAUUCUAUAAACCUUACUCAAAGUUAAGAGCUUUUUAUAAAAAGAUUUUGUAAACCCAAAAUAUAUAAUAUUUCUCAACUUGAUUAAUCAAACAAAAUAUAUAUUUCCACCAAACAGUUCUCACAUCAUUCAUAAAUAUCAAAAUGUAUUAAAUGUCUGAUUCAAAUUUUUUGCAACAAAUAUGCUUAUUCAUAACUCACAAUAUAUCAAAUCUCGAUCUACAUGAGUUUACAAACUCUUAGAUAACAAUAUAGUGGUUACUCUAGCCAAGGUACUUGUAUCUGUAUCAAUUAAUUGAAAACGAUAUCAAAACCAUGUAAUAUGCUACUCUAAUCAAUGAUUUGACUAACCUAUGCUUAUUCUUUGAUAAAACGACACCUAUACGCUAUCAAAGAAACACGUUUAUAGCAAAAGUUUAUCUUUCUCUAUAGUGCAAAUUGUCUGCUACGUGUAACUCAAACUUGAAACUUAGAAAUUUUUUAUGAUCAAAUUGUGCCUUGGAAUCAAAUUUGGUUAAACCCCAAAGCUCCACAACGCCUUAGACUACCUUUUCCAUGGAAAUCGCAGUUAAAAAACUCCGCAGUUCAAAAACUCCUCAUUCGAACCUCAAAGUUCAAGAUCAUAUAAGUUAAAGUUUGUACCCUAACUUCCAAAAUUACUCUGAUUAGACAAAUAAUCAACUUGAAUACUUACCAGGUGUUACAAUUAGAAGUUGACUCAGCUAGUCGGGGUGUCCAGGUCAGUUACUUGGGACAAUUUUUUAUUUUUUUUUCCUUUUUCUUCUUUUCCUCUUUCCCUCCUCGUUUUCUGCUUCAGCUUCUUCUUUUCCUUUGGUGCUUCAAAAGCACGAGGUCAAAUAAUAAGAGAGAAAAAGAGGGUUGGGCUUAACUUUUAAGACACAUGGGCUGGCUGGGCUUUUAUUGGGCCAGUUAUUAAAAAGUUUCACAGACAGUGUUAGUUUUUAUAUCCACUUUUUAGCCACUGGUAAAGUGAAUUUUUGUCUCUCUCGUGUGGGGUAUACUUUGUGUAAUUGUACAGAGCAUGCUGGAAAGUUUUGAUGAGAAGAUCCCUGAGUUGGAGAAGCAAAUCAAAGGAUAAGCUUUUAGACAUUACAGUAGAUAAAACAUGAGAGAGACGUGGUUGAAUUAAGGAUCGUAAAUAAAAAAGGAGAGCUGUAAUCUUCUGUAAAAUCUAUACGGACUAUUUUCAUCCAUUUGCUCUAAGCAUUAUCUGGUUUAACAUUAAUCUGAAUCAUAGACAAAUCGAAAUAGUUGCACGAUUUUAGUUUCUAUGAUUCAUAACGAGUCUUGGAUCCUCUUCGCGAAUUGGAUCUGACUUUGGGACACGGCUUAAUCUCAAAAUUAAACCUCACGAACUUCUCGUCCUUUUCGUUAAACUGGAAGGCCUCGACAGUUUAUUUCUGAAGUCAAAGUUGGCUGGCCUUGCUUCGCAUUCAGAUGCGAUCUCCAAAAAGGCAAAAUAUAUAUAUAAAAAAAAAGUCAUUCCAUAAACUUCUAAUAUAUUUGUGUCUAGAAGUAUAAUAUAAAUAUAUUUCGAGAUAUUUAAUCUUUAUUGUUAUCUAUUUUGUCGGCUGGAUACGUUUAAAAAUAAGAGACUUUCUCUUCAUCAAUUCUUGAACUAUUUAAAUUUAAUAAGCGAUGAACGCAUGAGGAUGACAAACCACCGAACUAAUGCUAAUUUAAUGAACAUGGCCAUGUGGCAUGAUCAUGCCAAAUUGCUUACGGCGGGGCGAUCGUAUGUGCCACGUGACGACUGCAGGACUGUACACUUUCUUUGCCCUAACUAAUUAUAUUUUAUGCAAUUGAAUAGAUAGGGCUGUCCAUUCAUGCCUUUGCUACGGGGCCAGAAUGUCUUCUCCUUGUACUCAAGAUAAUGAGGAUUGGCAAUGAAUGAACCCCGAAUGCGGACGACGAACGUUGGAACUGGUCUUCAACGCUUGUGAUGUUUCAGCUUCUCCUCCCAGCUACAAGUCAUCGACACCGUGUCUGAAAGUUAAAGGAAUGUUCUCGUUAUGCACCUGUAAACCCGCUCUUCAAUAGUUCGAGCUCCCAGUUCAGAUUUUAACCUUUGCUCUCGUUAUUAGUCUACGCAAGGUUGACUGUUUGAUAUGGUCGUGUUCGUAGAUGGAGCUCGGUCUAUAGAGAAUCAAUGAAUUUCAGCGAGAAAGGUACCAAUAAAAUCCUUAACCUAUUAUAUUUGUGCUAAUUGAGUCUUAAACAUUUCAAUUGUCAAUUAAUUUUUAAACCUUUUGAUGAUCUGUCAAUAUAUUCUAUUUGAUCAAUUUUGGUUGNNNNNNNNNNNNNNNNNNNNNNNNNNNNNNNNNNNNNNNNNNNNNNNNNNNNNNNNNNNNNNNNNNNNNNNNNNNNNNNNNNNNNNNNNNNNNNNNNNNNAUCAUUUCUGCAAUGCAUUCCCCAAAAGUUGAACCAAACGGGCCUUAAUUUCUUUGAAUUGCAACCCUUCUGUUACAUUCAUCAAAAUAGAUUAAAAAUUUAAUACUACGAAUCUAAGCAUAUCCUUAAAAAGUUCAAAGAAAAGAAAUAGGUGAGAAAAUCACUUAGGACGGAAAAUCUCACAAUGACAUUUCCAUAUUCCCUUUCUUUAGGGAAGAAAAAUAUUUAAAGAGAAUUGGACGGAUUAGAAGUGCAAGUAUUGACACAUUAAAAUAACGAAUGUAGUCCUAUCAGUCAAAUCAAGAAAACUGAUUAGGCGGGCGGUCCUAGCUUGAGUGAAAAUACUCUAUCCUUUGGUGAGGUUACCUGUAACCUCAGUGCCUGUCUAAUAACCAUUCCAACAGUGACUGAUUCUGAUUUUUUGUUCUUGAGAGUAAUUUGGGAACAGAAUCGUAUUUGGUAAAAUUUUUGUUUUUGGGAACAAAUUUAUAUUUUUUUGUUCCCAGAAGUAGAUUUGGAACAUAAUCAAGAAUAAUAAAAAAAAAGUUGAUUAUUGUUCUAGGAACAAAUCUAAGAAUAAAAACCAACUCUUCUUCUUUUUCGAUCGUCAUCUUGCGGUUGCUGUCCGCCGUCGGUUGCCGGCAACCGGUCUGCAAGAUCGCUGGAGGCAAGCCUAGCCAUCGGCGAGGCUUCUUGUCGGUGGCCAGACGAGCCUCGCCCAGCCUUGGCGAGGCUCGCCUAGCCUUGUUGGUGGCCAGGUAGGCCUCGCCUAGCACUGACAAGGUCAGCCUGGCCACCGACGAGGCUCAACCUCGCCAAAUCGGUUGAGGCUGAGCCUCAGCGGGGCUGGGUGAGCCUCGCCUAGCUGCCGGUGAGGCUUGGUAGACAAGGGCUGGCCUUGUUGAGGGUCGGCGACGCUUUGGUGAGGUCGUCGGUCCUCGUCUCGGCGACCGGCUUGAAGAAGAAGAAGAAGAAUAUGAGAAAAAAGAAAAAAAAGGAAAAUAGUAUAAAAAUUAUUUAAAAAUUAAAAGAAAUUGAUUUGGAACAUAAUCAAUGAGUACAGUACUAAACACAAUUCUAUUCCAGAACAAGAAAUUUUGGAUGGAUAUCAAUGGUUUAAAAUGCUUAAAUCUGUUUCCGGGAACAGAAUAAAAAAGAUCAUUUCUAUCAGAUUUACUAUCAGGAAUAGAAUCGUUACCAAACGCGUCUAAAUAACNNNNNNNNNNNNNNNNNNNNNNNNNNNNNNNNNNNNNNNNNNNNNNNNNNNNNNNNNNNNNNNNNNNNNNNNNNNNNNNNNNNNNNNNNNNNNNNNNNNNNNNNNNNNNNNNNNNNNNNNNNNNNNNNNNNNNNNNNNNNNNNNNNNNNNNNNNNNNNNNNNNNNNNNNNNNNNNNNNNNNNNNNNNNNNNNNNNNNNNNNNNNNNNNNNNNNNNNNNNNNNNNNNNNNNNNNNNNNNNNNNNNNNNNNNNNNNNNNNNNNNNNNNNNNNNNNNNNNNNNNNNNNNNNNNNNNNNNNNNNNNNNNNNNNNNNNNNNNNNNNNNNNNNNNNNNNNNNNNNNNNNNNNNNNNNNNNNNNNNNNNNNNNNNNNNNNNNNNNNNNNNNNNNNNNNNNNNNNNNNNNNNNNNNNNNNNNNNNNNNNNNNNNNNNNNNNNNNNNNNNNNNNNNNNNNNNNNNNNNNNNNNNNNNNNNNNNNNNNNNNNNNNNNNNNNNNNNNNNNNNNNNNNNNNNNNNNNNNNNNNNNNNNNNNUCAUAUGUGAGAAUUUCGACUUGAGUGUCGGAGAGUGUCAAAAAAAUUAACCAGGUGUUGAAUUUUUCGACAUGUGUUUUAAUCGAGUGUCGGGCACGUGUCGGAGUGUCCAAUACAACAUGAAGACCAUUAGAGAGUGUCGAUGCUUCCUAGCUAUCAUGUGCCUCAUACGCACCUCCUUUGCAUCUUGUAAAAAACAGAGCAACUUCAAUAAUCAGAGACCAAUUGAAACAACAGCGGGACUUUAGUUUCAGGAAAAUCCGGGACAGCUCAUAGAAAUCUGUUUCGGCCUCGUAUGAUAAUUUAACGCUAAGAAUGCAUGUUACAACAGAAGACAGAUCACCGAAGGUUGAAGAUCCCGCUAGCAAUAAAUUUGAUAUAUCAAAAUUGUUCUAUUUUAUAAGGAACUGAUGAUCCAAAACAUCGAUUUGCUUCAUCGUGUAGGUCGCCAAAGCUGCUUCAUGACUGCUUUCAACCACUAUAGAAAUCAAAAGAACUCGCCCAAGAGCUAAAGCCUGACGCAUGUAGGUGAAAUGAGAUAACAAGAGGGUGUCAUAUUCCAACUUUUGGCUGAGAACUCUAACAUUAGCCUAUCUCUCUCUCAAACAUGCGUGGGCAACAAUUGUUACAGGUCAGAACUAACAGUCAGAACUACCAGUCAGACCCUGCUCAGUGCAACAGCAAAAGUAUCUCCUGUUCAAGAAAGAAAAGUAGGUAAAUAUAGAUGCACAUUGUAAAAAAUAUUGAGGUGAGGCAAUAUGCGAAAGAAGUUUGAUGCGGUGUAAAGUGAAGCCGUUUGUAUAUAUUAGUUAGUUUAUAACUCAUUUGUGUAAGCUUUCUGAGUGAAUAUGAGUCAGGUUAGAUAUAUGGAAUCCCCUUAGAUGAUAUCCAACAAGUGCAUUAGAGACGGUGAUUUGGAUGGGUUAGGCCCAAGAUAUGUGGAUCAGGAAUUUAUGAGUAUCUCAAGAAAAUGAAUCUUGGAUGUGACUCUCCAUGACGUGAUAGAUAGUGCAAUCUUGCUAAGCUUGGCUGGACUAGGGCGAUUGGGGAGGAGUCAAGGCAGUAUUGUGCUCUAGCCGAUUGGCUAAGCUAAGGUAGAGAUUUGGGAUGAAUUAAUGUUGGUGCGAUACGAUAUCUAGAUUAAGAGGAGUGGGACUAAACAUUUGUUGCGAAUUAUAAUUUCUAAAAGGGGGAUGUGGUCUAAAGUGCAGCAAUAGUAUAUUCUAAUAAGUUCAUAAUUCUUCCGUUAUGCUUUUGAAUGAAGAUGGGUCUAGCUAGCUUGGAUUUAAAAUUCCUUCAGAUGAUCUCGGGCGAAGCUCUAUUUUCCAGUUCAAAUCAGUUGAAAGAUGAGAGUUAAAUAUGGAGAAUACACCGACCAAUGAUAUCAUGUAUCACGUUGUCCCUGAAUUUCACUGCUCAUGCCUCAUUGGCUAGUUCCGUUAUUAGUGCCCACGCAAAAAAAGGUUGACUUGAACGAAAAGGAUGCUUCCUAGUUUUCUUCAGCUUUCCUCAUAUGAACUGUUGAGGUCUCAUUUGUCUGUCUUUCUCACUCUCUGCGUGUGAGUGGUGAGUUAACGAGUGAGCGAGCGUUUCAAGAGGAAGAAUCAAAAAAGGAAGAGAUGGGGACACAAGGAGGAGAAAUGGGGAUCCCUCUUCUUGAAGAACAAGAAGAAGCGGUUCCUGACAGAAUCACACACAUGCUUGUUCUCAGUGCAUUUUUCGCUGUCUGCGGCUCCUACGUCUUCGGAAAUGCUGUAAGAACUUUGCUUAUCUUAAAGCUCGGCUACUAGCAGGAAUUGUCUGUCCUUUUAUGUGCUUUUUUUUCUUUUUUUCAUCUCUUGUCACGCAUGUUUCUUCGUUCUGUUACUGUCAUCUGGAAUAGCAAACUCUGAUCUGGAAAAGAAUAUAACGCUGACCAACUAAUUUUCUGGAUGACUUAUCACACUUGCCUUUGCCUUCGAUCAGUGUGCAACAGUUUCUAGUUAUGCAAUAUUGCCUUGAUUAGGUAGAACAAGACUUGGCAUAUCUCCUCGUGUUGAUUCAAAUAAAUAUUUUGAAGACUGUGAGCAGAGUGUACUUCUCGCUCCUAGUUACCGUCUAAUUGGCUUAAAGAUAUGAUUUUUUCAGGUGUCUUACUCAUCUCCUGCUGAAUCAGGCAUUAUGGAUGAACUGAGCCUUUCUUUGGCAGAGGUCAGUGACCAUCACUAUUUGCUCUUUCACUGCUUUUAAUGUUUUAUGUAAUCCAUCUAAAAGUAUAAACUAAGUGAAUGGAAGCAUUGCUUAAAUAGACUAAAACAUUUUGCGGUGUGAGUGAGAACUCACUUGGUUCUUCCGAUCAUGUCUGUGGUGUUUACUUUGAAUGUCUAAUUUGUUACAAAGAAAGCUCUCCAUAUUCUGACAAUUUCCUGUGACUGAAAUCUAAAAGACACGGGAAAAUUUUACCCAACUGGGUGUAUAUUUUUGCACCUAUUGUUCUGUACCCCAAAAUUUUCUUUGGUCGACUGAACUGAAGUGCUGGUGAGAUGCAGUAUUCGGUUUUCGGUUCACUAUUGACGGUUGGAGGACUUCUAGGUGCCCUAUGCAGUGGUAAAAUAGCUGACCUAAUCGGCCGGAGAGGGGUAAGUGUUCUGGCCAAUACCUUUUAAAUGUUGUUUUACCACUGCAUUAUCUCAAACUUGAGCGUCACAAAUUGUUUGAAUCUUAUAAUUCAACUUUUGCUGAUAAUGUUGCACAGGCUAUGUGGGUUACUGAUGUAUCGGGCAUCAUCGGAUGGUGUGCAAUAUUUCUUUCAGAGGUACCAUGUUUAUGUGCCAAUUGGUCCAUUAUUAGUUUUCGUUAACCAUUUUACUUAUCCCUUGGCUAGCUUACUUGCUCCGCUGGCAAAGUUCUUCAAAAGUUGAUGUCUAGCCUCAAGUUUUACCGAGCAAAUAGACAUUAAUGUCAAAUGGAGAACCUGGUUCUUUUGUGGGCAUAGUUUACUAUCCACUCUUCAUAAUACUAACGAACUUUAACUUCUUGAAGAGUGCUUGGUCUCUUGAUCUUGGAAGAUUAUUACUGGG
rnacentral:lncRNA from 1 species